GACAGAGGGUGCAAACGUUGUUCGGAAUUACUGGGCGUAAAGCGCGUGUAGGCGGCUCGGAAAGUCGGGUGUGAAAGCCCUGGGCUUAACUGCGGAAUGGCAUUGGAUGCUAUUCGGCUAGAGGGUUGGAGGGGGGACUGGAAUUCUCGGUGUAGCAGUGAAAUGCGUAGAUAUUGGGAAGAACACCGGUGGCGAAGGCGGCUCACUGGCUCAUUUCUGACGCUCAGGCGCGACAGCGUGGGGAUCAAACAGG
rnacentral:rRNA from 1 species